rnacentral:tRNA from 1 species
GGGCCUGUGGCGGAAUUGGUAUACGCAACAGACUUAAAAUCUGUGGCCGCAAGGCAUGUGGGUUCAACUCCCACCAGGCCCACCA